UGAAUCCUACGGGGGGCAGCAGUGGGGGAUAUUGCACAAUGGGCGCAAGCCUGACCCAGCAACGCCGCGUGAAGGAAGAAGGCUUUCGGGUUGUAAACUUCUUUUCUCAGGGACGAAGAAAGUGACGGUACCUGAGGAAUAAGCCACGGCUAACUACGUGCCAGCAGCCGCGGUAAUACGUAGGUGGCAAGCGUUAUCCGGAUUUACUGGGUGUAAAGGGCGUGUAGGCGGGACUGCAAGUCAGAUGUGAAAACCGCGGGCUCAACCUGUGGCCUGCAUUUGAAACUGUAGUUCUUGAGUACGGG
rnacentral:rRNA from 1 species